UCAGCAGGGACGAAGCGAAAGUGACGGUACCUGCAGAAGAAGCACCGGCCAACUACGUGCCAGCAGCCGCGGUAAUACGUAGGGUGCAAGCGUUGUCCGGAAUUAUUGGGCGUAAAGAGCUCGUAGGCGGUUUGUUGCGUCGGCUGUGAAAUCCCGAGGCUCAACCUCGGGUCUGCAGUCGAUACGAGCAAACUAGAGUGUUGCAGGGGAGACUGGAAUUCCUGGUGUAGCGGUGAAAUGCGCAGAUAUCAGGAGGAACACCGGUGGCGAAGGCGGGUCUCUGGGCAACAACUGACGCUGAGGAGCGAAAGCGUGGGGAGCGAACAGGAUUAGAUACCCUGGUAGUCCACGCCGUAAACGUUGGGCGCUAGGUGUGGGGCUCAUUCCACGAGUUCCGUGCCGCAGCUAACGCAUUAAGCGCCCCGCCUGGGGAGUACGGCCGCAAGGCUAAAACUCAAAGGAAUUGACGGGGGCCCGCACAAGCGGCGGAGCAUGUUGCUUAAUUCGAUGCAACGCGAAGAACCUUACCUAGGCUUGACAUGCACGGAAAUCCUCCAGAGAUGGUGGGUCCGUAAGGGCCGUGCACAGGUGGUGCAUGGUUGUCGUCAGCUCGUGUCGUG
rnacentral:rRNA from 1 species